CACUUCUAGAACCGGUGAGGUACACCCUUCCGGAACCGGUGAGGUAUACCCUCCUUCCGGAACCAGUGGGGUAUACCCUCGUUCCGGAACCAGUGGGGUAUACCCUCGUUCCGGAACCGGUGAGGUAUACCCUCCUUUCUGAACCGGUGAGGUAUACCCUCCUUCCGGAACCAGUGAGGCAUACUCUUCUUAUAGAACCGUUGCGGUAUACUCUCAUAUAGAACCGGUGAGGUAUACACCUCUUUUAGAACCGGUGAGGUAUACACUCUUUCUAGGACUGGUGAGGUAUAUUCUUCAAGAACCGGUGAAGUAUACCCUCCUUCUAGGACCGGUGAGGUACACCUUUCUUCUAGAACCAGUGAGGUAUAUCCUGCUUACAGAACCAGUGAGACAUACUCUUCUUAUAGAACCGUUGAGGUAUACUCUCAUAUAGAACCGGUGAGGUAUACACCUCUUUUAGAACCGGUGAGGUAUACACUCUUUCUAGGACUGGUGAGGUAUAUUCUUCAAGAACCGGUGAAGUAUACCCUCCUUCUAGGACCGGUGAGGUACACCUUUCUUCUAGAACCAAUGAGGUAUAUCCUGCUUACAGAACUAGUGAGGUAUAGCCUGCUUCUAGGACCAAUGAUGUAUACACUCCUAGAACCAGUGGGGUAUACACUUCUAUAACCGGUUAGGUAUACUCUUCUAGAACUGGUGAGGUAUACCCUUCUCGAAAUGGUGAGUUAUACCCUCCUAUAACCGGUGAGGUAUUCCCUACUUCUAGAAGCGGUGAGGUAUACGCUUCUAGAACCGAUGAGGUAUACACACUUCUAGAACUGGUGAGGUAUACCCUCAUUCUAGAACCGGUGAGGUAUACCCUCAUUCUAGAACCGGUGAGGUAUACCCUCCUUCUAGAACCGGUGAGGUAUACCCUCCUUCUAGAACUGGUGAUGUAUACAC
rnacentral:lncRNA from 13 species